AACGAACGCUGGCGGCAGGCCUAACACAUGCAAGUCGAGCGAGGACUUAGGUUCUAGCGGCGGACGGGUGAGUAACGCGUGGGAAUGUGCCCUUCUCUACGGAAUAGCCCUGGGAAACUGGGAGUAAUACCGUAUACGCCCUAUUGGGGAAAGAUUUAUCGGAGAAGGAUCAGCCCGCGUUGGAUUAGGUAGUUGGUGGGGUAAUGGCCUACCAAGCCGACGAUCCAUAGCUGGUUUGAGAGGAUGAUCAGCCACACUGGGACUGAGACACGGCCCAGACUCCUACGGGAGGCAGCAGUGGGGAAUCUUAGACAAUGGGGGCAACCCUGAUCUAGCCAUGCCGCGUGAGUGAUGAAGGCCUUAGGGUUGUAAAGCUCUUUCAGCUGGGAAGAUAAUGACGGUACCAGCAGAAGAAGCCCCGGCUAACUCCGUG
rnacentral:rRNA from 1 species